CGCCCUUCGCUUCUCUCUCCUCCUCUCUUCGUCUCCCUCGAGAGUCGAGAUCCUUCUCCUCCCAAACUCCCCAAACUCUCCAAACCCGCCUCCUACCCAUUUCGCUCGCCGCCUCCGACGCCGCGGCCGCCGCCACCGCCACCCAUGGAGCCCGCGCCGCUCGCCUCGCUGCAGGAGGAGGGUGAGGGGGAGCCCGGCGAGUCGCCGUCCUCCGCCGCCGCCGCCGUGCCGCCCCGCCCCGCCACGCACCACUCGCUCCACAAGUACGCGCCGCUGGACUGGUCGGCCUACUUCGACGAGGAGCGCCGCGUCGCCAUCCCCGACACCGAAGACGUUUUCAAUGUGUACAUGGCCAGAUCGGAGGGGCCUGUCGUGUUCUGCCUGCAUGGUGGCGGCUACUCCGGGCUUUCGUUUGCUCUAGCAGCAAGUCGUAUGAAGGAAAAGGCUCGUGUUGUUUCUAUGGAUCUGCGAGGGCAUGGAAAAUCAACCACAAGUGAUGAUUCAGAUUUGUCCAUUGAAACUCUCAGCAGCGAUGUCAUAGCUGUUUUACGCACAUUGUAUGGAGAUUCUCCACCAGCCAUUAUACUUGUUGGGCAUAGCAUGGGCGGUUCUGUGGCUAUACAUGUGGCCGCAAAGAAAGUUAUUCGCAAUCUUCACGGUCUUGUUGUUAUUGAUGUAGUUGAGGGAACAGCAAUGGCUUCAUUGAUUCAUAUGCAGAAGAUCUUAGCAAAUCGAGCGCAACAUUUCCCUAGCAUUGAAAAAGCUAUUGAAUGGAGUGUCAAAGGUGGGCCACUCAGGAACAUUGAUUCUGCUCGUGUUUCGAUUCCAUCUACCUUGAAAUAUGAUGAAUCAAGGGAAUGCUAUACAUAUCGAACUCCUCUCGAGGAAACAGAAAAAUACUGGAAAGGAUGGUAUGAAGGUCUUUCUGAAAAGUUCUUGUCUUGUCCAGUGCAAAAGGUCCUAUUAUUAGCUGGAACUGAUAGGUUGGACAGAGCUUUAACAAUUGGUCAAAUGCAAGGAAAGUUUCAAAUGGUGGUGGUUCGACACACUGGACAUGCCAUACAGGAAGAUGUGCCUGAAGAAUUUGCAUCGCACAUACUAAAUUUCAUAGCUCGCAACAAAAUAGGUCCUAAUGGUGUUGAGAUUCCUGGACUGAUUAAAAAAUGGCAGCAUUAGACGGAACGGACCUUGCGUUCCAAUGUUGACAGUUUUUAGGAAAACGAUGAGGCUUCUAUCUCCACCGGAUUGCCAUAUUUUCCACAGGGUAGAAGGUGUUGCAAGAAGAUUGGGGAUAUCAUAGGCACGAGCGAUCUAGGUUGUGAGAGUGAAUAAAAUGGAGUAAUUUGACUGCUUUCAAAUGCUUGUGAGAGUGUUAGAUUGUGAAUGUGAUGCACAUACUCCAGAAAAAUACAAGGAAGCCAGGAUUACAUUGUUCGCUCUACCAGCUAGAGGCAUGGGAUUCAAUUUUCUCCUUUCCAGCGGAACAAUGAUUAUUCGUACGCUGAUUUUUCAUGGCCUGAGGUGUAAUCAAUGAUGGGUCAAGUUAUGCA